UUAAAGGGCAAAGCCGUCGAAAGGCGGUGACGCAAAGCAAGGUGUCUAACCAAUUUAUUGUAUGAUCGACCGGCUGC
rnacentral:ncRNA from 1 species